rnacentral:tRNA from 1 species
GGCAGCCUUGCCUAGUGGUUAGAGCGUCAGACUAGGGCUCUGGGACUCGGGGGCCCGGGUUCGAAACCCCCCCAGUAAUCCUGCUG